UUAGAUAUUGGAGUUUGAAGGUCAAUGAGUGUUUCUAAAAUCUUUUGCAAUUUGUCAAUUGGAUUGAAGUGAAAUUCUUUUGUAUAGAUAUUAUAUUUUAUUUUCAAUAUUUAGGUGAAAUUUGAGAGAAAUUAACUAGUUCAAAAAGGAGAUAUUUGCACUAAAAGUUGAAUAUUCAGAUUGGAAUAGGAGGCCAUGUAACAUCCAAUUGGAUUAUCUUGCAUUUCUCUCAAUUGGUAAGUUCAAUUGUUUUCAUCUUUUUUGUGAUUGUUUCUUAUUAAGACAUUAAAAAGUAUGCAAAUUUUGAGUUGUUAACAAUGGUUUGAUCAUUAAUUGUUGAGGUUCUAUUUUGCCAUAGGAUUAGUUAAGAAUUUAUUUAAGACCUAAGAUUUAAUUAGAAUUUUAUUA
rnacentral:lncRNA from 1 species